rnacentral:rRNA from 1 species
GACGAACCGUGCGAACGUUGUUCGGAUUCACUGGGCUUAAAGGGCGCGUAGGCGGCUUGCCAAGUCAGGGGUGAAAUCUUUCGGCUUAACCGGAAAAGUGCUUCUGAUACUGGCGGGCUGGAGGGAGGUAGGGGCAGACGGAACUUCCGGUGGAGCGGUGAAAUGCGUAGAUAUCGGAAGGAACGCCGGUGGCGAAAGCGGUCUGCUGGACCUCUUCUGACGCUGAGGCGCGAAAGCCAGGGGGAGCAAACGGG